GUUCGGUCUGGCUCAGUGUCUUCACAAGAGCAAGUGGCAGCGCUUCCUGGUUCUUGCUCCGAUCAGCCGGGAUCUCCGAGGGUCGCUCCAGGAAAUCAGUAGUGUUGGGGGUCCUAUUCUUUGCUCAAGGGAACCUGGAUAAUGGUAAUGAUGCAGACCGGCAGCUUCCACAAGCAAUCCCAAGUUUGCCUGUGAAUAUUCUCAUUCAACGAGGUCAUUUCAUUCUCAGGGCAUUGAAUUGAUCGCAAGUGGCCUCUUCUGGUUGUCUUAGAAGAUGUUUUGCCUCUCAUCCGAGCAGGCUUCAUCAAUUCAUGCAACAAGGCUGAGUUAGGACAGCACUAAGCUGGGUUUUUGGUGGGGGAAAAGUUGGAGGCAUGCCCCAAACGUCGAAUCCGAUCAUUCUUUUGGAAUGCAAAACAACAGUCGUCAAGAUGGCAGAGAGGCCAUUGUCCGCCAACACGAGUCGUUAGGUACUGGAGUUUCCACCGAACGACAUGUAUUGACGUACACCAAAAACCCAAGGCACUUCUGUCCUAACUAGCCUCGUUGCAUGAACUGAUGAAGCCUGCUCGAAUGAGAGGUGAACAACAACCAGAACUGUCCAGUUGCGAUCGAUUCGAUGCCCUGAGAGUUCCAACGUUGGUCAACAAACCUUCCACUCCUCUUGGCCCCAAACCAAGUCGUUACACAUCGACAUGGCCCGAGCGGCGUCGGUCAGCUUGGCCUUGCUGCCGUCGUCCAGACAGACCAAACACAGGCAGCGUUCCAUCUGGUCCAAAGAAUCCCUGUUGGUCGACUCUGCAAGAGAGCGAGGAGCAUUUCUUCUAAUGCAG